UCCCCGUUGGCCGGGGCAGUCUCGUGUGAAAAAUACAACACACGACAAGGGUUGCGCUCGUUGCGGGACUUAACCCAACAUCUCACGACACGAGCUGACGACGGCCAUGCAACACCUGUCACUAGGCUCCCGAAGGCACCCCUCUGUUUCCAGAAGGUUCCUAGGAUGUCAAGCCUUGGUAAGGUUCUUCGCGUAGCUUCGAAUUAAACCACAUGCUCCACCGCUUGUGCGGGUCCCCGUCAAUUCCUUUGAGUUUUAAGCUUGCGCUCGUACUCCCCAGGCGGGAUGCUUAUCGCGUUAGCUUCUCAGCACAGAGGGUCGAUACUCCAUACUAAUAGCAUCCAUCGUUUACGGCGUGGACUAC
rnacentral:misc_RNA from 1 species